UGCGGCUCAGCUCUGGGCCCUGUGCAUCCUGCCCCAGCAACAACCACCAUCGCAUUCUGGGAAAAGUUUCUGAUCCCUUACCUGGACCUUUCUGGCCACAUUGAAGAAGAUACUUGGAGAUCUUCUGUAACUUCAGUGUGGCAUUCCUGAUUCAUCACUGUAGCUUCCGCAUUUCCUCUGUGCUCCUUUUAAAGGUUCCUGAGCCCUGAGGACGAAUAGGCCAUGUAAGUUUUGCCGUGUAGGCCAAUUCUGUUGGACUAAUCGUGGCUUCUUAAAAUAUUCUGUUAGGAAGGAUUCGGGGGUGCUGUUGGCACAGCAGA